AUGAUGCAGGAUCGACUAUGUCGAAUAAAAUUCUAGGUAGAAUUUUGAUAAUGACAUUGUCUGCCUAUGUGUCUUGACCAAAUUACGUGCCAGCAGUCGCGGUAAUACGUAGAAGACUAGUGUUAUUCAUGUUUAAUCGGUUUAAAGGGUACCUAGACGGUAAAUCAAGCCUAAAAUUAAAUGAAGGGACUAAUUUACUAGAGUUACUUAUGAGGGGGUAUUAAAGUACUGCUGGUGUAGAGAUGAAAUUCUGUCAUACCUCUUUUCUAUAGAAAAAUAAUGGCACAGGUAUAGGCGGAAAGCAUCCCCUUAUGUGAUAACUGACGUUGAGGGACGAAGGCUUUGUGUAGCGAACAGGAUUAGAUACCCCAGUAGUCAAAGCAGAAAAAUGAUGAAUGUCAUAGAUUAGAUAAAUAAGUUUAUUCUAUAAAUGAAAGUGUAAGCAUUCCACCUCAAGAGUAAUUUGGCAACAUUGGAACUGAAAUCAUUAGACCGUUUCUGAAACCAGUAGUGAAGUAUGUUGUUUAAUUUGAUGAUCCGCAAAAAACCUUACCACGAUUUGAAUAUUUAUAUCUUUUAUUGUUUUUUUUUAUUUUCUUCUGAUUUUAAAAAGAGGCGAUAUGAUAUAUUUACAAGCGUUGCACGGCUGUCUUCAGUUAAUGUCGCGAGACUUUGGUUAGUUCCAUUAAAUUAACGUAAACCCUUACUUUAUUUUUAUAUAGAGUAGUUCCCCGCUAUAUUGGAUAUGAUAACAGGGACUAAGACAAGUCAUCAUGGCCUAAAUAUUGUGGGCUAUAGACGUGCCACAUAA
rnacentral:rRNA from 1 species